CCGCACUGGUUCGAUCGGGAUACUCAUCAAAUUAAUUUAUGAAACCGAGAUUCGUUUCGCACGCCAAUGGCGGGCCACGCCCCGAAAGGGGUAACCUUAGAGUCGGUGGAUUACAAAGGCUGCGAACCCUCAAAACGUGUAUUUUCGGAGUUUCAUCACAUCACCAGUGCGGUUUUUUU
rnacentral:sRNA from 1 species